rnacentral:rRNA from 1 species
AGUUUGGAUCAUGGCUCAGGACGAACGCUGGCGGCGUGCUUAACACAUGCAAGUCGAACGCUGAAGCUCCAGCUUGCUGGGGUGGAUGAGUGGCGAACGGGUGAGUAAUACGUGAGUAACCUGCCCUUGACUCUGGGAUAAGCCUGGGAAACCGGGUCUAAUACUGGAUACGACGUCCUACCGCAUGGUGGGGCGUGGAAAGGGUUUUACUGGUUUUGGAUGGGCUCACGGCCUAUCAGCUUGUUGGUGGGGUAAUGGCCUACCAAGGCGACGACGGGUAGCCGGCCUGAGAGGGUGACCGGCCACACUGGGACUGAGACACGGCCCAGACUCCUACGGGAGGCAGCAGUGGGGAAUAUUGCACAAUGGGCGGAAGCCUGAUGCAGCGACGCCGCGUGAGGGAUGACGGCCUUCGGGUUGUAAACCUCUUUCAGCAGGGAAGAAGCCACAAGUGACGGUACCUGCAGAAGAAGCGCCGGCUAACUACGUGCCAGCAGCCGCGGUAAUACGUAGGGCGCAAGCGUUGUCCGGAAUUAUUGGGCGUAAAGAGCUCGUAGGCGGUUUGUCGCGUCUGCUGUGAAAGCCCGGGGCUCAACCCCGGGUCUGCAGUGGGUACGGGCAGACUAGAGUGCAGUAGGGGAGACUGGAAUUCCUGGUGUAGCGGUGAAAUGCGCAGAUAUCAGGAGGAACACCGAUGGCGAAGGCAGGUCUCUGGGCUGUUACUGACGCUAGGAGCGAAAGCAUGGGGAGCGAACAGGAUUAGAUACCCUGGUAGUCCAUGCCGUAAACGUUGGGCACUAGGUGUGGGGGACAUUCCACGUUCUCCGCGCCGUAGCUAACGCAUUAAGUGCCCCGCCUGGGGAGUACGGCCGCAAGGCUAAAACUCAAAGGAAUUGACGGGGGCCCGCACAAGCGGCGGAGCAUGCGGAUUAAUUCGAUGCAACGCGAAGAACCUUACCAAGGCUUGACAUCCACCGGACCGCACUGGAGACAGUGUUUCCCUUCGGGGCUGGUGGACAGGUGGUGCAUGGUUGUCGUCAGCUCGUGUCGUGAGAUGUUGGGUUAAGUCCCGCAACGAGCGCAACCCUCGUUCUAUGUUGCCAGCACGUGAUGGUGGGGACUCAUAGGAGACUGCCGGGGUCAACUCGGAGGAAGGUGGGGAUGACGUCAAAUCAUCAUGCCCCUUAUGUCUUGGGCUUCACGCAUGCUACAAUGGCCGGUACAAAUGGUUGCGAUACUGUGAGGUGGAGCUAAUCCCAAAAAGCCGGUCUCA